CGCUUCUCCUUUAUGAGACUGAAACCAGAGCUCCUCCUGCUGCUCAACAGAAACCGGCGGAAGAGAUGAAGGAGAUGCACAGAGGGAGCCUAGUUGUCGACCACUCACAAAUCAACGUCUCGAGGUUCGACUUCGACUCCAUCCAGCUUUCCCCUGGCGAGAAUUUGGGCAUCUUGAGUAAAUCCUGUAGCAGACAAAGCUGCUUCCAAUAAAAGUACAUACCAAAAGGAUCUCAACUAACUAGAGCUUGAGGAACAAACUUUCUAAUAUGUUUGGAUGGUUGUGAAUCAAGCAUCUCUUUACACACUGGGCACAAUAGAGGACAGUUAACCUAAAGAUGCACCAAAUGCAAACACAGAGCUCAUUUAGAAACCACUAACAACAGAAGAAGCUUAUGUAUCUGCAAGGGGCAUGCAAGUUGUUCUUUAGUGCUUGUACGACAGAAAUAUUGAAGUUUGGCAUUGUGAAAGUUGUGGCUGAUUCUACUUGGAGGAACGGUUGACCUAAACAUGUGUCAAAUGCAACGUGAGGUUCAUUCAAAAACCACUGACAACUGAAGAAGCUUUUGUAGCUGCAAUGGGCAUGCAAGUGUUUCUUAAGUGCUUGUGCAACAAAAGUUUUGAAGUUUGGUAGUGUGAAAGUUGUGGCUGAUUCACCUGGGAGGAACAGUUGACCUCAAGAUGCAUCAAAUGCAAUGUGAGGUUCAUUUACAAACCACUAACAACUGAAGAAGCUUUUGUAGCUGCAAGGGGCAUGCAAGUGGUUCUUGAGUGCUUGUACAACUGCUGUCAAUUUGAAAUUGUUUUUAACUACUUUUGCUGCUUUGUAGUUAUAUUUGAAAUAAACAGGAUCAACCUCCUCAGCGAUAGCGGCGACCUGUUGGUCUUGCUCAUUAACAGCCGCUUCAGAAUAACAGCAUUGAAGCUGCUUCUUGUCCCUUGCACCAGAAACCUGUAGAGCUUGACGAGGAGCUUCAGGUAGACAUCAUCAGAUUUGGGGGCCGUGCGCUUCGUCUUCUCCCUUGUCCCACCAGCGAGUAAGUCGAUAUCCAUGGCUGCCAAUGAACGUCGUCACCGCCAUUACCAUUAGUCCUUGAAGGUGUUCGUCUGUAGCAUCUCACCAGCCAUGAAGCUAUCACCCCUCUCCUUGGCCCCGAUGAUGUGAGGAUCUCGCCGAAGAGCUCCUGUGCCGUCGUCUUCUAUCUUGAGGCCCUACUUAGCCGUGCAUUCUAUGACAACUUUGAGACUCCCACUUUCGAGCUGGAUGCCGUGCUGAACCAACGGUACCUGUGUCGAGCCAACCUCGAUGCUUUCUCAGAGGCUUUGGUUUCUUCUCCGAUUUGAGACGGAAGAAGAGCUUCUCCAGUGAAGACAAGAGGGAGGAAACAAAAUUUGGGGCCGUCGGACUGUAAUGUGGAUAGGGCAUUUUUCUUCGGGUGCAUUUGAACUGAAUUUGUGAAUAAGAGAGCAACAGAGACUCUCCUUUCCUUGAGCAGCGAGAAGGAGCUAUGGCAAACAAAGAGAAGAGCAUUGGUGACAUCAGCAACUCAGAAAAUUCUCAGGUGAUGCCAGAUUCUUUCUUUUUUACAUCAUUAUGAUAAUUUCAGAAGUGUGCUGGUAUCUCACGCACUUAACGACGACAAUUAUGCCAUUUGGAGAAGAGCCAUGAUAAUGGCUUUAUCAUCAAAAAAUAAACUAGGCUUUAUAGACGGAUCAAAGAGCCAAAAGAAGGAUAUAAGAAUCGUGCCUUGUGGGUUAGAUGCAAUAAUAUGAUUCUUUCAUGGAUUUUAAAUUCUAUUAGCAAACUACUAUUGCUUAUGCUACUUCUGCUCAAGAUGUAUGGGAAGAUUUGAAAAGCAGGUUUAUUAGAGUUUAGCACCAAGAAUAUAUCAACUACAGAGUUCUAUAUGUCGGCUUCAACAAGAGACUUUAUCAGUUACUAUGUACUAUACAAAAAUUAAGGCAUUAUGGGAUGAACUUAAACUCUUAUUCUCCCUGUA